ACGGCUAUUUAAAUGAUCCAUGAAACAAUAAGUUUAAUUUUUCAAAAAUUAAUUUAAUCGUACCGAUAACCGCAUCAGGUCUCCAAGGUGAGUAGCUUCUGGCCAUUGAGUAAUGGUAAUUUAGGGAAUUCGGCCAAUUAGAGCUGUAACUUCGGGAUAAAGCUUGGCUCUGAUGGAAAUCAGAACCGAUAGUUACAAGGAGAGCCCAACUGUUUAAUAAAAACUUAGUGUCGCGUCAUACCUUUAUAAGUAAUAAACGUGACAUGAAUCCUGCUCAGUGCUGUGUUUGUUAAACUGGAUUAAUCCAUUUAAGCGCCGGUAAAUAGCUGGGGUAACUAUGACUCUUAUCAAAGUAGCGAAAUACCUCGUCACUUAAUUAGUGACCUGCAUGAACGGAGCUAUGAGGUUCUCACUGUCCCAAAUUAUCACUCAGCGAACCAACAGUUGUGGGAACGGGCACAAAUUAUCCAGCGGGGAAAGAAGACCCUGUAGAGCUUCACUUUGGUCUAAUCUUGUAUAGUUUCGUUAGGGGUGCAGUCUAGGUGGGAGAUUUUUAAUCAAAUAUGAGAAACCACUACCCUUUCUGGAAUUAUACUUACUAAAAUUCUUUUCUAAAUUUUAGGAUCGGAUUAGAUAGAAAGUUUGGCUGGGGCGGCACACCUUCGAAAAAGCAGCGAAGGUGUCCUAAGUUAAGCUCAGUAAGGACAGAAAUCUUACGUUGAGGAUAAGGCCAAAAGCUUAAUUUACUGUGCCUUUUUGUACUAGGAUCAGUUUGGAAACAAAGGCCUAACGAUCCCUAAUUAGUCUUAGGUGUGUAAGACUUGGGGUGACAGACAAGUUACCUCCGGGACAACUGGCUUGUGGCUGCUAAGAGAUCAAAUCAACGCAGCUUUUUGAUUCUUCGAUGUCGGCUCUUCCUAUCCUAGUGAUGUACAAGUCACUAAGGGUUGGAUUGUUCACCCGUAUUAGGGAUCGUGAGCUGGGUUUAGACCGUCGUGAGCCAGGUUUGUUUUAUCCUACUGGAUAUAAUUUAGCAUCUUGAUAGUAGUUUGAUUUAGUACGAGAGGAACUGUUGAAUAUGGUCUCUGGUUUGGGAAUUUUAUGAAAAUAAAAGUUCCAAAGCUACGCCGUCUGAGAUAAUGGCUGAAGGCCUCUUAAGCCAGAAACUCAUCUAAAAAUAGAUGCUUUAAACUAUUUAAAAGAAUUAAAUUUAAAAUAUUUU
rnacentral:rRNA from 1 species